GGGGCGGUAGUAUAGCCUGGUAGUAUUUCAGGUUUGGGACCUGACGACCGCGGUUCAAAUCCGCGCCGUCCCA
rnacentral:tRNA from 1 species